GAGCUCCGCUCGCUCCUUCACUAGUCACUUGAAACUCUGGAGGGGAGGAGUUGACCAACGCCACAUGCCUUAGGCUAUAAAUCUGGGGUGACUAACCUUCAGACUGAGCCGAAGGACUUACUAGGUCAGAGGGAUCCCUGAAGCGGACAAGCAUGCCGGCAAAACCAGCCCCGAUAAAGAAGUCGGCUAAGGCCGCCAAGAAGGAGGAACCUGCACCGGCACCCGCUCCCGAACCAGUGCCCGAGCCCGCACCUGCACCUGAACCUGCCCCUGCUGAACCUGCCCCCGUUGAACCAGCCCCCGCUGAAGCCGCCCCAGCGGAGACUGCCCCAGCUGAAGAAGCCCCGGUGGAGGCACCUCCUGCUGAAGCCCCAGCUGCUGAACCAGCUGCAGCUGAUGCUGAAGCUCCACCUGCUGAGGAAAUCAAAGCACCUACACCUCCUCCACCUGCAGAGCCCACCAGCGAGCCUCUCGAGCUCGGCGUUGAGGAUGUCAAUGACACUUCCGUCACUAUCUCAUGGAGACCACCAGCCACCAUUGGAAACUCUGGUCUGGAUGGAUACACUGUGGAAAUCUGCAAGGAAGGAACCAAUGACUGGAAAGCAGCUAACGAGGAGCUGACUGUGUCCUGCCGUUACAUUAUUAAGAACCAGACCACCGGCGACCGCCUGAACAUCAGGGUGGUGGCUGUAAACCCUGGCGGCCGCAGCGCUCCUGCUACUCUGGCCGACACUGUCCUGGUCAGAGAGGUUGUAGAUCGCCCGAAAAUCCGUCUGCCACGUUUCCUGAGGCAGCGCUAUGUGAAAAAUGUUGGAGAGAAGAUCAACCUUGUUAUUCCCUUCAGUGGCAAACCACAACCUAUUGUGUCAUGGACAAAGGAUGGCCAGCCUGUGGAUACUAAAAAGGUUAACAUCCGCAACACCGACAAGGACAGCAUCUUCUUCAUCCGUGCUGCCGAGAGAGCCGACUCCGGCGUGUAUGAGAUGUGUGUGAAAGUGGACAGCUUUGAGGACAAAGCCCAGUUGACUCUGCAGAUUGUUGAGUUGCCUGGACCUCCAGCCAGCGUCAAGAUCGUGGACACCUGGGGUUUCAAUGUUGCUCUGGAAUGGACUGAACCCAAGGAUAAUGGAAACACAACCAUCACUGGAUACACCGUCCAGAAGGCUGACAAAAAAACAGGGGACUGGUUCACAGUACUGGAGCAUUAUCACAGAAUGAAUGCCACUGUUUCAGACCUGAUCAUGGGUAACACCUACAUCUUCAGGGUCUUCACUGAGAACAAGUGUGGAAUUAGUCAAGAGGCCACUGUCACAAAGACAUCAGCCACCAUCCAGAAGACAGGCAUUGACUACAAGCCUCCAGAGUACAAGGAACACGACUUCAGCCAGGCACCCAAAUUUACCACCCCCCUGGCAGACCGCUCCACUACCAUUGGUUAUAAUGCCAAGCUGCUUUGCUCCGUCAGGGGAUUCCCUAAGCCCAAGGUCGAGUGGAUGAAGAAUCAGAUGAUUAUCGGUGACGACCCCAAGUUCAGGCAAAUCAACAACCAGGGCAUCUGCUCCCUAGAGAUCCGCAAACCCGGCAACUUUGACGGUGGCGUCUACACCUGCAGAGCCAAGAACGAGCACGGAGAGGCCUUGGUGACCUGCAAACUGGAGGUUAAACAGCCUGUGAUUGCUGAUGCCGAUAAGAAAUAAGUUCGACACCCACAUCCAUACAGUCCCAAAUAAGGAAUAGAAAAAUUGGGAUCCCUCUCAAAAGGACUGGGAAGACGUCUUUUGCUGAUGAGAAAAAAAAAAUCAUGUACAUAUGAAAUAAAAAAUAUCGAUUAAAAUAGACUUUUUCUUCCUUUUUCAUAAUUUAAUGCUUGGCCCCAGAAUUAUGAAAAUCACAUAUAUUUAUUAUAUGGACAUUUAGAUCAGCAGCUGCCUGCAUGUAUUGCUUCUUGUUUGUGUAUCGCCUCACAUACUCGUCCAGUGAUGUAACUAGGAUCAAGUCCCAUCCGGACCAACAGGAGUGUUUGUUUUAAUUCAAUUAAACCAUAGCCUUUCAUCCA